rnacentral:rRNA from 1 species
AAUAUUGGACAAGGGGGGUAACGCUGAUCCAGCCAUGCCGCGUGUGUGAAGAAGGUCUNCGGAUUNUNAAGCACUUUACGCUGGGNGGAAGGGCAGUAAGUUAAUACCUUGCUGUUUUGACGUUACCGACAGAAUAAGCACCGGCUAACUUCGUCCCAGCAGCCGCGGUAAUACAGAGGGUGCAAGCGUUAAUCGGAAUUACUGGGCGUAAAGCGCGCGUAGGUGGUUCAGUAAGAUGGGUGUGAAAUCCCCGGGCUUAAGCUGGGAACUGCUUUCAUAACUGCUGAGCUAGAGUACGGUAGAGGGUAGUGGAAUUUCCUGUGUAGCGGUGAAAUGCGUAGAUAUAGGAAGGAACACCAGUGGCGAAGGCGACCACCUGGGCUAAUACUGACACUGAGGUGCGAAAGCAUGGGGAGCAAAC